GCUUCUGACAGUGUGGUGCCUGCAGCCUAGCCCAAGGAGAUUUGACCGACAGACCAAAGAGCCGGGACCAGCUCCUCCCCAGUGUGUGUGUCCCUCCGUCCCAUCUGUGAAGGGGCCCAUCAGCCCCUCCCCCACAGCCACUGGCACCUUCAGCACCACCAGCUGCUUUUCCCAAGGUGCAUGUACUGCCCUGUGGCACCACAGCACAAGGGUUGCUGUUGUGUCAGGAAGUCCUCCGGCUGCCUGCCCUCAACUCAAGACUUCCUGCUUGACUCUGUUGGCCCUGGAGGGCACACUUGGGAUUGCUGGGGGAAAGGUAAGGUCUGCUCCACCCCACCCCAGGUCUUUGGGUUCCCCCCAACCCCCACUGCACCUCCCCCCACCACACACACUGAAAGUCAGGUGGGGAGAGGGUAAGGCUAGGAGUUAGAAUUCCUGGGUUCAGGACCCCACAACCCUGUUAACUUUUCCUGGGAUCGUGCACAAGUUACUUUUCCUCUCUGGUUCAGGAAGUCCCCUUCUGCAAUGUGGAAAGGGUCACUGCUGCAUAGACCUGCCUUCUGGGCCCAUGAGUAGUGGAUUCAGGGGCAAGGCUCUGGAAUUUAAUAAGAGCUCACAUUAUUUAGAGCUAUGCUAGGGCCUUUUCUAGUAUUACAUCAUCCAAUUCUUAACAAUUCUAAAACGUAGGGACCAUUUUAAAGCUCCAUUUUAUAGAUGAGACAACCGAAGCACAGAGAUGCUACUAAUUUGCCCAAGGCCACACAGCAAGUCAAUGAUAGGACUGAGAUGCAAGCUCAGUAGAUGGUCUAUCUCCAGAACCCACAUGAUUAAUCACUAUCACAUGCUGCCUCCUUGGUAAAAACAUUCCCAAGACUAUGGGCAGCUGAAGGAGGUCAACCGGGAUAUUCAGAUCACACAGGGUCUUUUUGAAACUGUUUUCUGAGGUCCCUCUAGAUUAGCAAUUCUUAAAGUGUGGUCCAGGGAGCCUGGGGGCUCCUGAGACCCUUCCAGAGGCUCUAUGAGUUCAAAACUAUCUUCAUAAUAAUACUAAUGCGUUAUUUGCUUUUUUCUCUUUGAUUCUUUCGUGAGUGUUCAGUAGAGUUUUCCAGAAGCUACACUGCAAUAUGAUAUUACAACCUAUUGUAUACAGAAGCAGUUAUGCAAUACCAACUGUCUUCUGUUAAGCCAGAUAUUAAAAAUAUUUGUGAAAAGUUGAGACAAUGCCACUUACUAAACGUUUGUCUAUUUUGAAGUAUAGCUAUUUUUCAUUAAAAAUGUCAUUUAAGUUGACAUGCAAAAUGGGUUUUUUGUUGUUAUUUUUAUUUUU
rnacentral:lncRNA from 1 species